GUGGGGAAUAUUGGGCAAUGGGGGAAACCCUGACCCAGCAACGCCGCGUGAGGGAAGAAGGUUUUCGGAUUGUAAACCUCUGUCCUUGGUGACGAAGGAAGUGACGGUAACCAAGGAGGAAGCCCCGGCUAACUACGUGCCAGCAGCCGCGGUAAUACGUAGGGGGCAAGCGUUGUCCGGAAUGACUGGGCGUAAAGGGCGUGUAGGCGGCCGAUUAAGUCUGGAGUGAAAGUCCUGUUUUCAAGGUGGGAAUUGCUUUGGAGACUGGUUGGCUUGAGUGCGGAAGAGGUAAGUGGAAUUCCCAGUGUAGCGGUGAAAUGCGUAGAGAUUGGGAGGAACACCAGUGGCGAAGGCGACUUACUGGGCCGUAACUGACGCUGAGGCGCGAAAGCGUGGGGAGCGAACAGGAUUAGAAACCCUGGUAGUCC
rnacentral:rRNA from 1 species